CAGCCCAUCGCUGGAAGAACUGUCAAAGAGAAUCUUUCUUCUUCAUUCUGGCUGAACUCUUGGGAAUCUUAGCUCAGUCCAGAUGGUGAGCCUCAGCUGCUCUAUGAAACAGAUAAGAAAACAUGUUCAGAAGCAUAUGAAAUGAUUUCCCCAAGAAAUAGUUUUGCAUAAUGGAUAGUACUUUGGUCUUGCGGACAAGAAAACCUGCUGCCCCUGAUACUUCUCAGUUUUACAAACCUGGGUGAGUGAACUCAGGACAAGGUCUAUAAUGACAUUUUUAGCUGAAUUUCCAAAUCUUGGUGAUAUGAUUGUCCUCGAAUGACAAGGCACAAUUUGCAAAUGUCCUGUGGUGGGAAUGUGCUGUGUGGCUUCAUCCUGGCAAUUUGAUUCAGCCAAUUAAACAGCCCCUGAUGAGAAACCCUAGGACAGGAAGCCCUGCCAGAACCAUGCCCACCAAUUCUAUAGUUUGCAAUAUUUUCCCCCAAAGCCUCUAUGCAAUUGCUUUUAUAUUGAUCAUUUGAGACAUGGCCAUAGGAAACUGGUUUGAAAACUGAAAUGUCAGAUCAUUUUCCUGAAAACAUAGCAGCUUUUUCCUGAUUAGAACACUGUAAGAAAGUAUUUCUUGUAGUAGUACAAAUCUCCCAAGGUAUCUCUUAUUCUAAAUAAUAGGCCUUUUAUAACUACUUGCCUAAAGAUAUCACACUGGUAAUCAGUGGUAAGGAGUGAAUGUACUAGCAUAGCAAGCUAUCAGCCCACCAUCCCCAAACAUGGUCAGCCUAAUAAAUAGGGAUUUAGGUAAUUUCUUCCAUGACUCUCUUGAAUUCUUCUUGGUAUAG